rnacentral:rRNA from 1 species
UCGUUUAAAGUUCUAGAUAGUUAUGAAUUAUGACUGUUUCUAUCUAUAUGUCUUGACUAAAUCUUGUGCCAGCAGUCGCGGUAAGACAAGAAAGACUAGUGUUAUUCAUCUUUAUUAGGUUUAAAGGGUACCUAGACAGUCGUUAUUGCCUUAUGGGUACGUAUGUGACUAGAGUUUUGAUGUAAGGGGUUUGUACAGUAGAGGAGAGAUUAAAUUCGUUGAUACUAUCGGACCGGUAAAGGCGAAGGCUAACCUUUAUGUUAAAACUGACGUUGAGGGACGAAGGCAUUGUAUAGUGAAGAGGAUUAGAUACCCUUGUAGCCUUUGCAGAGAAUUAUGAGUGUUAUAUAUAAAUGAAAGUGUAAGCACUCCACCUCAAGAGUAAUGUGGCAACGCAGAAACUGAAAUCAUUAGACCGUUUUUGAAACCAGUAGUGAAGUAUGUUAUUUAAUUCGAUGAUCCUCGAAUA